rnacentral:rRNA from 1 species
GACGAACCGAGCGAACGUUAUUCGGAAUCACUGGGCUUAAAGGGCGCGUAGGCGGGCGAUCAAGUCAGGGGUGAAAGCCCCCAGCUCAACUGGGGAAGUGCCUCUGAUACUGGUCGCCUCGAGCGAGGUAGGGGCGUGCGGAACUUCCGGUGGAGCGGUGAAAUGCGUAGAUAUCGGAAGGAACACCGGUGGCGAAAGCGGCGCGCUGGACCUCUUCUGACGCUGAGGCGCGAAAGCCAGGGGAGCGAACGGGAUUAGAAACCCUCGUAGUCC